GAUGAACGCUGGCGGCGUGCCUAAUACAUGCAAGUCGAGCGAACAGACGAGGAGCUUGCUCCUCUGACGUUAGCGGCGGACGGGUGAGUAACACGUGGAUAACCUACCUAUAAGACUGGGAUAACUUCGGGAAACCGGAGCUAAUACCGGAUAAUAUAUUGAACCGCAUGGUUCAAUAGUGAAAGACGGUUUUGCUGUCACUUAUAGAUGGAUCCGCGCCGCAUUAGCUAGUUGGUAAGGUAACGGCUUACCAAGGCAACGAUGCGUAGCCGACCUGAGAGGGUGAUCAGCCCCACUGGAACUGAGACACGGUCCAGACUCCUACGGGAGGCAGCAGAAGGGAAUCGUCCGCAAGGGGCGAAAGCCUGACGGAGCAACGCCGCGUGAGUGAUGAAGUGCUUCGGAUCUGAAAACUCUGUUAUUAGGGAAGAACAAAUGUGUAAGUAACUAUGCACGUCUUGACGGUACCUAAUCAGAAAGCCACGGCUAACUACGUG
rnacentral:rRNA from 1 species